CCUGCCCACUGAUAUAAAUUUAAUGGCCGCGGUAUUAUGACCGUGCAAAGGUAGCAUAAUCAUUAGUCUUUUAAUUAAAGGCUUGUAUGAAUGGUUGGACAAAAGAAAAACUGUCUUUUUAGUAAAAAUUGAAUUUAACUUUUAAGUGAAAGGGCUUAAAUAUUUCAAAGGGACGAUAAGACCCUAUAAAGCUUUAUAAAGAAUAAAAGUUAGGUUGAGGUUUGUUUAUUAAAAAUUAGGAUUUAUAUUUUAUUAGGUUGGGGCAACAAAAGUAUAAUUAUAAGUAACUGCUUUAUUUAUAAACAAAUAUAUUUGUAUUAAAGUUAAUUGAUCCUUAUUUAAAGAUUCUAAGAUUAAGUUACUUUAGGGAUAACAGCGUUAUUUUUUUUGAGAGUUCUUAUCGAAAAAAGAGUUUGCGACCUCGAUGUUGAAUUAAAAUUUCUAUAUAGUGCAGUUGUUAUAUAAG
rnacentral:rRNA from 1 species